UCCGUAGGUGAACCUGCGGAGGGAUCAUUACUGAGCGAGGGCCUCCGGUCCGACCUCCAACCCUUUGUGAACCAACACUGUUGCUUCGGGGGCGACCCUGCCUUUCGGGCAGUGCGCCCCCGGAGGAUAUCAAAACGCUGCAUCUUUGCGUCGGAGUAUCAAUCAAAUUGAACAAAACUUUCAACAACGGAUCUCUUGGUUCUGGCAUCGAUGAAGAACGCAGCGAAAUGCGAUAAGUAAUGUGAAUUGCAGAAUUCAGUGAAUCAUCGAAUCUUUGAACGCACAUUGCGCCCCGUGGUAUUCCGCGGGGCAUGCCUGUUCGAGCGUCAUUUCACCACUCAAGCCUGGCUUGGUAUUGGGCGUCGCGAGUCCGCGCGCCUCAAAGUCUCCGGCUGAGCUGUCCGUCUCCCAGCGUUGUGAAUCUCAUUCGCUACGGAGUCUCGGGCAGCCGCGGCCGUUAAACUUAUCUAAAGGUUGACCUCGGAUCAGGUAGGGAUACCCGCUGAACUUAAGCAUAUCAAUAAGCGGAGGA
rnacentral:rRNA from 1 species